GGCUGGUUGUUAUCCAUCGGAUAAUAAGCCUCAAACAUCAGGAAGUUGAGAUUUUAUAUUCACCUCGCUUCAUCACACAGUCGGCGACAUAUGUGCACGGCCUGGUUCAUCAACAUCUUCACAUGCAUCAGCACUCUCACCCGCAUGCCUUCACUCCAACCCUUGACCGGUCCACGGCCAUCCCACCUGCUCCUAUGGCAACUCAGGACAGCAGCUUCAACAUGCACCUUCCCAGAGCAGCCGCGACGCCCUCUGCCUUCCACAAGGCCACACAGAAACCCUCGAGGUCAACAGUGAGUCCAACGUGCAACAACCAAAACUGUCAAUUGUAGUCUCAUUUCUGUUUCCUUUAAAAAAAUGUUUUUUUUAAAGAUCAAUUAGGCGAUGGUUGAAUUAAAUUUGAUUAAACACAAUUUUGUGAUGAGUGUUUUCCCUUUUUUUCCCUCAGAAACUAGGGCAACGCGGCGCACAGCACGUCUGCAUUGCAUGGAAGAUAUAUUACAACCAACAA